rnacentral:rRNA from 1 species
CUUGGCUCUCGCAUCGAUGAAGAACGCAGCGAAAUGCGAUAAGUAAUGUGAAUUGCAGAAUUCAGUGAAUCAUCGAAUCUUUGAACGCACCUUGCGCUCCUUGGUAUUCCGAGGAGCAUGCCUGUUUGAGUGUCAUUAAAUCCUCAAUCCCUUCCAGUUGUCAUGGCUGGUUGUGGCUUGGAUCUUGGGGGACUUUGCUGGCCUUACUCUUAGAUCAGCUCCCCUGAAAUGCAUUAG